UCUCUCGUGGUCCAGUGGCUAAGACUCUGAGCUCCCAGUGCAGGGGCCCAAGUUCCAUUCUUGGCUGGAGAA
rnacentral:tRNA from 1 species